AACGAACGCUGGCGGCAUGCCUAACACAUGCAAGUCGAACGAGACCUUCGGGUCUAGUGGCGCACGGGUGCGUAACGCGUGGGAACCUGCCUUUAGGUUCGGAAUAACUCCCCGAAAGGGGUGCUAAUACCGGAUAAUGUCUUCGGACCAAAGAUUUAUCGCCUUGAGGUUGGCCCGCGUAGGAUUAGCGAGUUGGUGGGGUAAAGGCCUACCAAGGCGACGAUCCUUAGCUGGUCUGAGAGGAUGAUCAGCCACACUGGGACUGAGACACGGCCCAGACUCCUACGGGAGGCAGCAGUGGGGAAUAUUGGACAAUGGGCGAAAGCCUGAUCCAGCAAUGCCGCGUGAGUGAUGAAGGCCUUAGGGUUGUAAAGCUCUUUUACCAGGGAUGAUAAUGACAGUACCUGAAGAAUAAGCUCCGGCUAACUCCGUGCCAGCAGCCGCAGUAAAAC
rnacentral:rRNA from 1 species